AAAAAAAUCAUACAAUUAUUAAUCUUAGAAAAAAAAGCUAUUGCCAAAUAAAAUUUGCUAAAUAAUGUUUAGAAUUACAGUUUGGCCGUUAGCCAAAAUUGCCUAAUAGAAGCCAUUUUGUCAAAGCAGAAAUGCCUUUGGUAGAUGAUAAAUUUUAGGACAGAUGUGAGAUGAUUUGUCAAGACAAAAUAAAGAGUUUGUCUCAACGGCGAAGAUAAGAUUUGAAUUUUUUUUUGUAUUUUUCAAUGUUUUUCUGAAUUUCGCAUUAAUAUUAUAUAGAUAGAGCACAUCAAGACUAUGGACGGAGGAAUAAUGCUGAACCAAUCUUUUUUAAACACAACCAGUGAGAGAAACACAGACUUCUACAAUUCGUGGUGUAAGAAGUAGGACGAGGACAUGGAAUCUAUUGCAUAUCGAGGUCCAGCCUUCGUUGGAAGUGUACUGGCUAAAUUAUACCCCGGAGCUAAGGAGGACGUGCGUAUUCUCGAUGUUGCAGCAGGCACUGGAUUAGUUGGUGAACAGCUAGCCAAACAAGGAUUUGUUCAAAUAGACGCAUUAGACCCAUCACAAGGAAUGCUAGAUGAGGCAAAAACAAAGAAUGUCUACCAAGCUCUGAUAUGUUCAUACUUUAAUGAGAAAGAACUGGACAUAGCACCAGGUAAAUACGUAUGACGUCAUUGUCAUCUCUGGAGGAUAUAGCAACAGUCACUUGCCUCUAGAUUGUGUGUGGGAAGCCGUGCGUCUCUUAAAACCAGGGGGUUAUUUUGUGGUGGCCGCGCGUCCAGUUCUCUUACAAACAGUCGAAGAGUACAAAGGCCACUUUGAACCAUUGAUGGACAAGAUUGAAAAAGAAGGGAAAUGGACAAAAAUCAGCAAGGAGGUCGUUCCCGAUUAUCAGAAAGGAAAAGAGGGGAUUAUUUUUGUAUAUCAAAUGAAACAAUAGUAUCUUGCUUCUGAUUCGAUAUUCGUGUUUAUCGAAUUUCCCGUGUACCUGAAUAGCUGGACAAAAUGGAACAUAGUGCCGUUUUACAGUAUUAAGGAAUGUAUUUCAAAAUAGUUCCGUUUUAGUAACUUGGGCUAUACAUGUCUUUGAAUACAAGAUAUCCUUCUUCAGGAACUAACCACCAACUUCUAAUAUGUAAAGUAAAAUAACCAGAAUAUGACAAUCACUUUUAUCAUUGCAUCAUAUUGAUGAAGUUUGACCUGGUACUCUUAAUUUCGUUAUAUCAGCCAUGCUUUGAUAAAGAAAGGAAUAUAGACAUGACAAAAUCAAUAGUCUGUGGCUGUUCAUUGAAAACAUACUGGACUUAUCGCUAGACUCAUACCUGAACUUUGAAAUGCUUUUCACUAUGUCGUGUGCUUACUUUUUUCUUGCGAAAUGAAUAUAUGAAUAAAUAAAUUCAAUAAAAACACUGAUAUGUAAUAUUUUAUUACUGUCUACGUAUCAUAGGCAAAUAAUUGUUUAUAACUUUUUAUGACACAUUCCCGUAAUA